CGCCCCCUCUGCCGUUGCCAUGGCAGCAGAAGAGCGUGGGGGUGUGGCGCCCCCUAGCGGCGAGGCGUGCUCAGUACAAGGUGGGAAUUCGGGAAUCCUUCCCAGGAAACGGAGAUUUCCCCAAACCCUCCGUGUUUGAUCAGACUGCCAGCGCCCCAGGAAAGCCGAGACACUUGUGCCCGACCAGUCUGUCAGGGUUCCCACAAUGGGGACAGAAUCAGAGAAUCAGUUAGGCUGCAAAAGGCCUGUAAACUCACCCAGUCCAAUCUUCACUCUCCUGCUGCGAUGUAUUCCCAAGGGUUAGGCCAUGGUGUGCACCAGCCAGCCUGCUUCUGAGCUAGUUAUCAAAGCCUCAGGAAGCCAUCAAGGCCACUGAAACAUAAACUCUGCUAAAGCAAGGAAGAAGAGGCUGAGAAACCAAAUAGCAAGACCACAAGAACUAGACAACAGGGCUGAAACACCUGGGCUGCAGCAAAUAGCACGCUCUGAGGAGUGCAGGCAGAAAACGAGCAAACAAGACAAGGGCACCAAUCAAGCAGUGUGUACUCAGUAGUUUGUAGAACCUAUAAAUAUGUGUGUAAUGUAAACAAUAAACGGCUUCUGCUUAA